rnacentral:lncRNA from 1 species
AAACAUCCUUCCAAAUAUCAGCUCAUUUUAUUUUAAAUAGUCACCAAAAAUUUAUCUUCAUUGUUACUAUGAUCAAUUCAAUUUCUUAAUCAAUUUCUUCCUCAAGGUCAAACAGAUUUAUGCUUCAUUAAUGCUAAUCAAUUAAGAUUCAAAUGCUCAAGUACAUCAUGAUCGAAAUGCUAAAUAUGAACGCAAGUUUCUCGGGCC